rnacentral:rRNA from 1 species
UAGAGUUUGAUCCUGGCUCAGAACGAACGUUGGCGGCGUGGAUUAGGCAUGCAAGUCGAACGCGAACCAGUGGUGUAGCAAUACAUCGCUGGGGAGAGUGGCGAAAGGGGCAGUAAUGCGUGGGUAACCUACCUCGGGGAUGGGCAUAGCCGUUCUAACGGACGGGUAAUUCCCAGCGAUUUGGUUGAGGGGCAUCCCUUGACCAGGAAAUGAAUUUCGCCUCGAGAGGGGCUCACGUCGUAUUAGCUAGUUGGUGAGGUUACGGCUCACCAAGGCAAAGAUGCGUAGCGGGUGUGAGAGCACGACCCGCGCCACUGGCACUGAGACACUGGCCAGACACCUACGGGUGGCUGCAGUCGAGGAUCUUCGGCAAUGGGCGCAAGCCUGACCGAGCGACGCCGCGUGUGCGAAGAAGGCCUUCGGGUUGUAAAGCACUGUCGAGGGGGAGGAAGCCGAAAGGUUGACCUAUCCCUGGAGGAAGCACGGGCUAAGUUCGUGCCAGCAGCCGCGGUAAGACGAACCGUGCGAACGUUGUUCGGAAUCACUGGGCUUAAAGGGCGCGUAGGCGGGUCAGCAAGUCCGGGGUGAAAUCUUUCGGCUCAACCGGAAAAGUGCCUUGUAUACUGCUGGUCUUGAGGGAGGUAGGGGUAUGUGGAACUUCUGGUGGAGCGGUGAAAUGCGUUGAUAUCAGAAAGAACGCCGGUGGCGAAAGCGACGUACUGGGACCUCUUCUGACGCUGAGGCGCGAAGCUAGGGGAGCAACGGGAUUAGAUACCCCGGUAGUCUAGCCCUAACGAUGGGUUACUACACAGUAGUCUUAUCAUGGGAUUACUCCUCGAAGCAAAGUGAUAAGGUACUCCCGCCUGGGCGAAUUAUUGGUCCGC